AAUAAGUUUGAUUCUGGCUUAUAUGUUAGUUUUUUAAAUUAAUUAUAUGUUUAUUUUUUAAUAAUUUAUAUAACAGUAAAUUAUUUUAUUAAUAUUUUUGUUUUUUUAUAGAAAUUUAAUAAAAUUGGAUUAAUUUUGUGCCAGCAAUCGCGGUUAUACAACUCAUUUUAAUUAACAUUUUUGGUGUUGUAUUUAUUUAAUUAUUGAUUAUAAUAUUAUAUUAUUUAGGUGGAAUUUAUAUUAAACCUAAUUUCUUAUUAAUUUAUAUUAAGUCUAAUCAAUAAACUAGGAUUAGAUACCCUAUUAUUUUAGAUCUAAAUUUUAUGUACUGAAUAUUAAUAGUUAAGUUCUAUAAAACUCAAAGAAUUUGGCGGUAAUUUAUCUUUAUAGAGGAACCUGUAUUUUAAUUGAUAAACCACAAUAAUUUAUACCUUUAUGUAUAUUUGUAUACCGCUAUACUAUAGAGUAUUUUAUAAAGAAAUUUUCUUUCUUUUUUAUAAAUAAUAUUAGGUCAAGGUGCAGUUUUUUUUAGGUUAAUAUGGGUUACAUUAUUUAUAUUUUUUUUUAAUUAAAAUUUAUUAUUUUUUAUGAAAUAGGAUUUAUUAGUAAUUUAAAUUAAUUAAUUUUUUUGAAUUUAGCUCUAAAUUAUGUACAUAUCGCCCGUCACUCUCAAUAAUAUGGGAUAAGUCGUAACAAAGUAGUUGUACCGGAAGGUGUAUCUAGAAAGUAA
rnacentral:ncRNA from 1 species